GAUGAAGAACGUAGCAAAAUGCGAUAAGUAAUGUGAAUUGCAGAAUUCAGUGAAUCAUCGAGUCUUUGAACGCACAUUGCGCCCCCUGGUAUUCCGGGGGGCAUGCCUGUCCGAGCGUCAUUGCUGCCCUCAAGCACGGCUUGUGUGUUGGGCCCCGUCCCCUCCCCCGGGGACGGGCCCGAAAGGCAGCGGCGGCACCGCGUCCGAUCCUCGAGCGUAUGGGGCUUUGUCACCCGCUCUGUAGGCCCGGCCGGCGCCAGCCGACACCCAACUUUUAUUUCUAAGGUUGACCUCGGAUCAGGUAGGGAUACCCGCUGAACUUAAGCAUAUCAAUAAGCGGAGGA
rnacentral:misc_RNA from 1 species